GUUGCCUGUGCUGUGAGGGGUUGCCCAUAAGACAUCACCAAGAAGGUCAAAAUCAAAGGCACAGGGGUCUUGGGCUCUGUGCCAAGGUCUCUGAGCCCCCUGGCAGGGGCCAUUCAGGAGCCAUCCAGAACAGCCAGAGGGAUGUCCUGGGUUCUGACAGUCUGGCUACUAUGGAGUUUCAUACUUUGCUCCUCAUGAUUGGAGAAGCCCACAGGAUUAUCAGCUUGGUUGCAGAAGGAUGAGAUAUUUUCCAAAGGACAAGUAUGUUGAAAGGAGAAGCCACUUACUUAAGGAAAUCUGUUUCACUCUGGAUCCUUGACAUGUGUGUGCUCACUAAACUUUUCUGGACAGUCACUGUAGAGGAACUUGCAAACUGAAAUAGAGGCAAUUCUUUAUGCUUUAGUAAAGAAAUAUUUGCAAAAUGCAUGGAAAGAUAGAAAAAUCAGCUAGUGAUGCAAUUUGAAAUAAACUGCACUGAAGUGCAGGGCUUUGAAGAGUAUCUACCAUUCUUGAUUCCCCCUUAGCUGAAUUAAGAACCCAUGGCUUCUUCCACUAAAAAUAAAUCAAUGCCUUGCUAUAUGUACUUCCACCACAGCAUUACUGAAUAUUGAGUUUUAAAUAUUAACUUGCCAACAAACAGCAGUAAAUA